CUUUAGUCUGCCAUGCUCUUGCACAAAAACCAGUGCGAAACGAAACUUUGUUGUGCGGUGUUUGUCAGUCGGUCGGUUGUCAUUUGCCGUUAAAAAAAAUCAAUGUAUAACUUAUGAUUGCUGUGUUUUUAAAAAUUUAUACUCAUUUUACUACUUUUACUCUCUCAUUCUCUGUCUAAGUUUUGUUGUUUUUGUUUUGCUAUCAAAUUAACAAAAACAUGUGUGUUUGUUUGUGAAAGCAAAGUAAAUCUCCCAUAAAGAAAAUUUCACAAAAGAAAACAACGACAAAAAAACGCACAAGUACAAACACACGCACCAGAGCAAAAAGAAAAGAGAACAGUCGUCGUCGUCAAACACAUUUGAAAAAACAAAAAUCCUAACAAAGUCAACUGUGCUGCCAUAGAAAAGAUUUCUGUAAAGAGCUCUGCCUUCGUCGCUGCUGCUGAGUUUCCUUUAGAUCAGUUUUGUUUUUUCUGCACUUCAGUAUAAAAUUAAAUACAACUGUCAAGUUAGUGUGCGGUUAGUUGCGGCUUAGUGUAGAGUGUAUUUAAGCGUAUUGUGUGUAUCGCGUUGUUAUUUCAUUUAACUACAUGAAGCAAGAGCAACAACAUUAUUUAUUAAAUUAAUGGAUAUAGACGCUACUCAACACGACUCGUACAAAUAAUAAAACAAAUUACGCAUAUUAUAAAUAAAUAAAAUUGAAAAUAAAAAAAGAAA